rnacentral:rRNA from 1 species
AGUGAACGCUGGCGGUAGGCCUAACACAUGCAAGUCGAACGGAAGCACAGUAAGAGCGUGCCCUUACGGGUGGCGAGUGACGGACGGGUGAGGAAUACAUCGGAUUCUACUAAUUCGUGGGGGAUAACGUAGGGCAACAUACGCUAAUACCGAAUAUGGCGAACGGGUGAAAGCAAUAGUUCUUCGCACCUUGGCCGUCUGAUAGAGACGAUGCCGGAUUAGCUAGUUGGCAGGGUAAGGGCCCACCAAGGCGACGAUACGUAGCGGGUCUGAGAGGAUGAUCAGCCACACUGGAACUGAGACACGGUCCAGACUCCUACGGGAGGCAGCAGUAGGGAAUAUUCGGCAAUGGGCGAAAGCCUGAUCCAGCCAUGCCGCGUGAGUGAAGAAGGCCUUCGGGUUGUAAAGCUCUUUUAUCAGGAAAGAAAAGCUGCGUAAUUAACUCUGCCUGUUUUGACGGUACCCAAACAGAAAGCCCCGGCUAACUUCGUG